rnacentral:rRNA from 1 species
GAUGAACGCUGGCGGCGUGCCUAAUACAUGCAAGUCGAACGCUUUGUCUUUAAUUGAUAUGACGAGCUUGCUCUGAUUUGAUUUUAUCUGACAAAGAGUGGCGAACGGGUGAGUAACACGUGGGUAACCUACCUCUUAGCAGGGGAUAACAUUUGGAAACAAGUGCUAAUACCGUAUAACACUAACAACCGCAUGGUUGUUAGUUGAAAGAUGGUUCUGCUAUCACUAAGAGAUGGACCCGCGGUGCAUUAGCUAGUUGGUAAGGUAAUGGCUUACCAAGGCGAUGAUGCGUAGCCGAGUUGAGAGACUGAUCGGCCACAAUGGGACUGAGACACGGCCCAUACUCCUACGGGAGGCAGCAGUAGGGAAUCUUCCACAAUGGGCGCAAGCCUGAUGGAGCAACGCCGCGUGUGUGAUGAAGGGUUUCGGCUCGUAAAACACUGUUAUAAGAGAAGAACGGCAUUGAGAGUAACUGUUCAGUGUGUGACGGUAUCUUAUCAGAAAGGAACGGCUAAAUACGUG